UCUCGGUAGGCUGCAACGGAAGUUGUGAGAGACAACUUGUAGCCGCUAUUCUCGCCGGUGCCUCCACUGCCGCUGUCACCUCAGCGCCGGCGGCUCCAGCCCCAGCCCUGCCCUGCGCUACUGCUGCUAUCGGCUGUUGCUGCCUCCACAGUCCGAGUCUCCGCUGCUGCCACCACAGCAUCCAGCUAUUAAAGACCAGUGGUGAAAAUGAUCAAAACUCUUCACUGAAGCUAAUAUUUAAUUGAAAAAAAAUAUGCUUGAAGAACCAAUCCAAGUGUGUAUUGUCUCCAGCUCAGAAACAAGGAAGAAUUUAAGUCAACUUGCACUAGGAAGUCAUCCAGACUCUCCCAACCCCAGAGUCUCGGCAAAGGUUCUUUGACCAGCAGCUCUCACAUGGCCUCCAUCCACAUCCUCAGAUAGAGAAACUUAAGUACAGUGUGAUCGAGUAACUUGUCAAGCUUUCACAAUGGAUAGGACCAAGGGAAGCAGCAAGGAAGUAAUAAGCACAACCUGCAGGCAAAGGAAAUACCUAUCUAUAGAAGAAAAUGAAGAAGUCCAUCUUAACUAGCAUUGUAUCCCCCCAAGUCCACCUAUGGCUCAUAUCUGAGUAACAUUCUCAACGUUUAUAGCUUAGUGAGACUACUGAGUAGGGGUUACUAUCUGGAUUAUAUGUAUCAUACCUAGGAAUAUG